rnacentral:lncRNA from 1 species
AAUUUUUGUAUCAUUUGCUAAUUAUAGUAAAGACAAUUGUUUUAUCACGCUAUUUUUUUUUAAUGUAAGCAAUUCAUACUACACUUAAUGAUGGGUAGUGUUCUAAUUGGAUUAGAAGGAAAAAAGCUAUCCUUCAUUUGGUUCUUUAAAAAUACAUAGCAACGCCAGGCGUGGUGGCUCAAGCCUGUAAUCCCAGCACUUUGGGAGGCCGAAGCAGGCGGAUCACGAGGUCAGGAGAUCAAGACCAUCCUGGCUAACAGGGUGAAACCCCGUCUCUACUAAAAAUACAAAAAAAUUAGCCGGGCAUGGUGGCAGGCGCCUGUAGUCCCAGCUACUCGGGAGGCUGAGGCAGGAGAAUGGCGUGAACCCAGGAGGCGAAGCUUGCAGUGAGCUGAGAUCGUGCCACUGCACUCCAGCCUGGGGGACAGAGCAAGACUCUGUCAAAAAAAAAAAAAAAAAAACAAACCCAAAAAAACCCACAAAAAACAAAAAACAAAAAACUUAGCAAUAAGUACGUUUAAGUUACAGUGAUAAACCCCAUUGGUAACACAAAGAUGAGUGACACACAACCUCUAUCCUCAGAUAACAUAGAGUAUACAUGGCCAACUCUAACAGGAAGUGUGAAACAAGUACAAUGAGUUAAUCUGAAAACUCUGAGAGAGAGAAAUUGCUUUCAGUAGGAAGAUCUGGGAAGGCUUUACAGAGAAGUUCAGCUCCUGCUACAUAGCUGGUAUCCAGUAAGUGUUUGUUGCAGAUUAAAUGGCGCUGCAUGUGAACUAGGUCAUCCAGGACUAGUAGGAAUUAGUCCUCUUGAGUUGAUACAGUCGGAGAUGAAGGCAGAGAGAAUUGUGUGUACAAAGGAACCAGACAUAGGCCAUCUGGGCAAGAGAUUCCAAGAAAAAAGGUAACUCAGCCCUGCUAAACAAAGACCCAAGACUCAUUCAUACAGAGGCAACAGCUUAGAACAUGCUUCUUGUCUUUACUGGGAAUGUCCUUCUUCCCAUCCAUGGAUAUACCAGUGGCUGCUCUUAAACUUCAUUUCUAAACCAAAUUAGACAAUCAAUUUGUAGAAGGAAAAGGAAGGGUUUAAAAAGGAGCCCCAAGGCCCAAUUCCAGUGGGAACAAAACCACAGCUAUCUGUAGAGACUGAA